rnacentral:rRNA from 1 species
UUAGCUGAGAGGAGGUGCAUGGCCGUCGUCAGUUCGUACUGUGAAGCAUCCUGUUAAGUCAGGCAACGAGCGAGACCCACGCCAACAGUUGCCAGCUCGUCCUCCGGGAUGGUGGGGACACUGUUGGGACCGCCUCUGCUAAAGGAGGAGGAAGGAAUGGGCAACGGUAGGUCAGCAUGCCCCGAAUUAUCUGGGCUACACGCGGGCUACAAUGGGUGGGACAAUGGGUAUCGACACCGAAAGGUGAAGGCAAUCUCCUAAACCCAUCCGUAGUUCGGAUUGUGGGCUGCAACUCGCCCACAUGAAGCUGGAAUCUGUAGUAAUCGUGUCUCAAAAUGGCACGGUGAAUAUGUCCCUGCUCCUU